AGAAAGUUAGUCUAAAAAAGACAUUUGAUUUCGGCUCAGAAAACUGUGGUUAAAUUCCACAACUUCCUU
rnacentral:tRNA from 1 species